AGGGUUGUAGUUAAACAUAACAUUUGAUUUGCAUUCAAAAAGUAUUGAUAUUUCUCAAUCUUCCUUA
rnacentral:tRNA from 2 species